CGCUUAAGCGUUAUCUCUAAUUUAUUGAGAUUAAGGAAUACUGAUUAAUUUAACGACGUAAUUGAUGCAGCCGCGAAAGCGCACGACUUUCGAUCGGCAAACCGACACAACACAGAUACAGAUACAGAUACAAAUACCCAUACAAAUGCGCAACGUACCUGCCCACAGCCCUCUUUUCAGAUCUUUUCAGUGAUUUCCACAGAGCAUUCCUGUUGGAAGCUGAAGUGCGACUUAGAUUGACGGAAACUGAAGCGAGUGCACGCAAAGAAAAUUAGUAAAAUACUUAAAAAUUGCCUUAAUAUUUAUACGACUAUUAGAUCUUUCUAAAGUUAUAAAGUGGCAAAUACUAUUGAAGUUUAAAACAAAAGUCUGGCUACCGCUUUUCUAAUUAGUAACAUUCAGGCGAGAAAUUAACUUUUGAAGAAUUCUACCUCUUUUUUUCGCUUUUGAUUUUGGCAAACUUUUUUCGGGAUGGAAGUGGCAUAAUAAUGAAACAACCCUUUGGUAAGUUUUGAAGAAAGAAAUAAAGAAUAAUUUGUAUGGAAAUUAUAAAUAAUGUUAUAUACUACGCGGAUGUCCGGAUGUGUUCAUUGAUUUACACACUUUGCAAAUACCUCGCAAUCAUUCGUAAACAAAGUAUGUACGACUGAAGUGAAAGUAAAAAUAUUUAAGAUAAUAUCAAUAUGCUAAUAAGGGAUAAUCAUGUUUCUAUAAUAUAUUUAAUACUUAGCAAGGACAUGUGCAUAUAUAGUAUAGUAUAGCUUAUAAGAUUAAACAAUAGGUAUCAAUAGUGCAUGAAACCGUUUUCUUCACCUAAAGUUAUGCUGUUCCACUGUAAAGUAUGCAGUGCCAUUUACCCUUUAUUAUCCUGGCCACCCAACCAAAGGAUAUAUGGAUGUAUGCCCUCUCACUCUGCCCCGCUCUAACCCCAUCUCGCUCCCACUUGGUACACCUAAAGUGCGCGGUGGCUGAAAGCGGAUGCGGAUGCGUAGUUUUGGUUAUAAAAAAGAAAUAUUACGCAUUAUGCCAAAUUGGCGGAGACUGUCGGGCGGCAAUAAUAACGUUUAGGGUUAAAUGCAUGACACAAUGGCAGACAGUUUUAGUGUUCGCCGGUUAUAAAGUCAACGAAAAUACGCACUCCCCUCGAAAGUAAGGGUUAUGUUAUAACCCUAUUGAUAAGAAGAGAGCCUCGAAUGUUUAUGCACUUUUCGGUCUGCAAAAGUUACUCACUCUUAUCGCAACUUUUCCACGGACUUUUUGCAUACUUGCGUUCUGAUGCUUUUUCUUUUUUGCCAGAAGGUGAGAUUAGGAUGUGGAUGGAAAAGUGCAUAAAAUAACAAAGUAACGUAUUGAAUGGGAAUGCAGUAUUUAUUA